rnacentral:rRNA from 5 species
UACGUAGGGUGCAGGCGUUAAUCGGAAUUACUGGGCGUAAAGCGUGCGCAGGCGGUUUCUUAAGUCAGAUGUGAAAGCCCCGGGCUUAACCUGGGAACUGCGUUUGAAACUGGGAGACUUGAGUGUGGCAGAGGGGGGUGGAAUUCCACGUGUAGCAGUGAAAUGCGUAGAUAUGUGGAGGAACACCGAUGGCGAAGGCAGCCCCCUGGGUUAACACUGACGCUCAUGCACGAAAGCGUGGGGAGCAAACAGG